GCCACACCAUGCUGAAUAUACCGCUUCUCGUUAGAUCACCGAAGUCAAGCAUCAUUGGGCGCGGUCAGUACUUGGGUGGGUGACCACCUGGGAAACACCGCGUGCCGU
rnacentral:rRNA from 1 species